AAUUUCCUUCUCAUUUAAAUGUUGCUGAAUUUGGUUUGGCACAAUCGUGUCUCGAUGGGAAUUUUUUUAUAUGUAUAAUUACAGGACCACUUUAUGUCGAAGAUUUGGAGAAUUUGCUCCAUGAAAGAUUAUUGCUUUCUUUUAACACAGAGGUUGAGGAUGGUAGCAUUGAGAAGGUUGCAGAACAACUGAUAAUGAUGCAUGAAGAAUACUUACUUGGACAGAAAGCAUUAGAUAAAAAAUGAGCAGUCUGACAUUUCGAAGAAAAAGUUGAUCAAAGGCUCAAAGAAACAAAUAUUUCAAUGUGUAUAAAGAGAAUGAAUCUAUCCUGUAUUUAUGAACUCAUAACUUGAGUUUCCAGAUGCAGAUUUUGAUGUCCAUAAGCAGCCAACUUACUUACAGAUUCUGUGAUUUUGCCAUUUGCCUCAUUUGUUGAAGAGGGAACAUCAUGGAAAACAUUUUAA